GACGAACGCUGGCGGCGUGCUUAACACAUGCAAGUCGAACGGAAAGGCCCUGCUUUUGUGGGGUGCUCGAGUGGCGAACGGGUGAGUAACACGUGAGUAACCUGCCCUUGACUUUGGGAUAACUUCAGGAAACUGGGGCUAAUACCGGAUAGGAGCUCCUGCUGCAUGGUGGGGGUUGGAAAGUUUCGGCGGUUGGGGAUGGACUCGCGGCUUAUCAGCUUGUUGGUGGGGUAGUGGCUUACCAAGGCUUUGACGGGUAGCCGGCCUGAGAGGGUGACCGGCCACAUUGGGACUGAGAUACGGCCCAGACUCCUACGGGAGGCAGCAGUGGGGAAUAUUGCACAAUGGGCGGAAGCCUGAUGCAGCAACGCCGCGUGCGGGGUGACGGCCUUCGGGUUGUAAACCGCUUUCGCCUGUGACGAAGCGUGAGUGACGGUAAUGGGUAAAGAAGCACCGGCUAACUACGUGCCAGCAGCCGCGGUGAUACGUAGGGUGCGAGCGUUGUCCGGAUUUAUUGGGCGUAAAGGGCUCGUAGGUGGUUGAUCGCGUCGGAAGUGUAAUCUUGGGGCUUAACCCUGAGCGUGCUUUCGAUACGGGUUGACUUGAGGAAGGUAGGGGAGAAUGGAAUUCCUGGGGGAGCGGUGGAAUGCGCAGAUAUCAGGAGGAACACCAGUGGCGAAGGCGGUUCUCUGGGCCUUUCCUGACGCUGAGGGGCGAAAGCGUGGGGAGCGAACAGGCUUAGAUACCCUGGUAGUCCACGCUGUAAACGGUGGGUACUAGGUGUGGGGUCCAUUCCACGGGUUCCGUGCCGUAGCUAACGCUUUAAGUACCCCGCCUGGGGAGUACGGCCGCAAGGCUAAAACUCAAAGGAAUUGACGGGGCCCCGCACAAGCGGCGGAGCAUGCGGAUUAAUUCGAUGCAACGCGUAGAACCUUACCUGGGUUUGACAUGGAUCGGGAGUGCUCAGAGAUGGGUGUGCCUCUUUUGGGGUCGGUUCACAGGUGGUGCAUGGCUGUCGUCAGCUCGUGUCGUGAGAUGUUGGGUUAAGUCCCGCAACGAGCGCAACCCUUGUUCACUGUUGCCAGCACGUUAUGGUGGGGACUCAGUGGAGACCGCCGGGGUCAACUCGGAGGAAGGUGGGGAUGACGUCAAGUCAUCAUGCCCCUUAUGUCCAGGGCUUCACGCAUGCUACAAUGGCUGGUACAGAGAGUGGCGAGCCUGUGAGGGUGAGCGAAUCUCGGAAAGCCGGUCUCAGUUCGGAUUGGGGUCUGCAACUCGACCUCAUGAAGUCGGAGUCGCUAGUAAUCGCAGAUCAGCAACGCUGCGGUGAAUACGUUCCCGGG
rnacentral:rRNA from 1 species